GAGGGUAUAGCUCAGGGAUUAGAGCACAUGCUUAGCAUGCACAAGGUCCUGGGUUCAAUCCCCAAUACCUCUU
rnacentral:tRNA from 1 species